rnacentral:rRNA from 1 species
AUACGGGGGGCAGCAGUAAGGGAUAUUGCGACAAUGGACGCAAGUCUGACGCAGCAACGCCGCGUGAGGGAUGACGGCCUUCGGGUUGUAAACCUCUUUUCGGUGGGAAGAGACAGGACGGUACCACCGGAAGAAGUCACGGCUAACUACGUGCCAGCAGCCGCGGUAAAACGUAGGUGGCAAGCGUUAUCCGGAUUUACUGGGUGUAAAGCGUGUGCAGGCGGUCGUGUAAGUAGCGCGUGAAAGCGCCCGGCUUAACCGGGCGAGGACGUGCUGUACUGCGCGACUGGAGGACGGUAGAGGCGAGUGGAAUUCCGGGUGUAGUGGUGAAAUGCGUAGAGAUCCGGAGGAACACCUGAGGCGAAGGCGACUCGCUGGGCCGUUUCUGACGCUCAGACACGACAGCAUGGGGAGCGAACGGGAUUAGAUACCCCGGUAGUC